rnacentral:rRNA from 1 species
UACGAAGGGGGCUAGCGUUGCUCGGAAUCACUGGGCGUAAAGCGCACGUAGGCGGGUCGUUAAGUCAGGGGUGAAAUCCUGGAGCUCAACUCCAGAACUGCCCUUGACUACUGGCGAUCUUCGAAGUUCGGGGAGAGGUGAGUGGAACUGCGAGUGUAAGAGGUGAAAUUCGUAGAUAUUCGCAAGAACACCAGUGGCGAAGGGCGGCUCACUGGCCCGAUACUGACGCUGAGGUGCGAAAGCGUGGGGAGCAAAGCAGG